UGACGUCAUCUCCAUUGGUGGUGAUGGCGGCCUCCGCGUAUGCGUGGAGGAGGGGGCAUCUGUGAGGCCUGGUGAAGGCUUCAGCCUGAAGAUGAAGCCAGGAGUGCAGAGUCGGAGGAGGGGGCAUCCCUGAGGCCUGGUGAAGGCUUCAGCCUGAAGAUGAAGCCAGGAGUGCAGAGUCGGAGGAGGGGGCAUCCCUGAGGCCUGGUGAAGGCUUCAGCCUGAAGAUGAAGCCAGGAGUGCAGAGUCGGAGGAGGGGGCAUCCCUGAGGCCUGGUGAAGGCUUCAGCCUGAAGAUGAAGCCAGGAGUGCAGAGUCGGAGGAGGGGGCAUCCCUGAGGCCUGGUGAAGGCUUCAGCCUGAAGAUGAAGCCAGGAGUGCAGAGUCAGUGAGGCCGCUUACACAGCCAGGAGGGGUUCACGAUGGCCGGGUCGGUGACACUUUGCCGGCAAUGCCGAGGAGGAGGGGGCAUCCCUGAGGCCUGGUGAAGGCUUCAGCCUGAAGAUGAAGCCAGGAGUGCAGAGUCGGAGGGGGCAUCCCUGAGGCCUGGUGAAGGCUUCAGCCUGAAGAUGAAGCCAGGAGUGCAGAGUCGGAGGAGGGGGCAUCCCUGAGGCCUGGUGAAGGCUUCAGCCUGAAGAUGAAGCCA